rnacentral:rRNA from 1 species
ACUCCUACGGGAGGCAGCAGUAGGGAAGUCUUCCACAAUGGGCGCAAGCCUGAUGGAGCAACACCGCGUGAGUGAAGAAGGGUUUCGGCUCGUAAAGCUCUGUUGUUAAAGAAGAACACGUAUGAGAGUAACUGUUCAUACGUUGACGGUAUUUAACCAGAAAGUCACGGCUAACUACGUGCCAGCAGCCGCGGUAAUACGUAGGUGGCAAGCGUUAUCCGGAUUUAUUGGGCGUAAAGAGAGUGCAGGCGGUUUUCUAAGUCUGAUGUGAAAGCCUUCGGCUUAACCGGAGAAGUGCAUCGGAAACUGGAUAACUUGAGUGCAGAAGAGGGUAGUGGAACUCCAUGUGUAGCGGUGGAAUGCGUAGAUAUAUGGAAGAACACCAGUGGCGAAGGCGGCUACCUGGUCUGCAACUGACGCUGAGACUCGAAAGCAUGGGUAGCGAACAGGAUUAGAUACCCUGGUAGGCUACCG